AGAUUGGGAGGCUGCCAUGUGGGUCCUAGGAGUGUGGAGCCCACUUGCAAGUGAAAGAGAUUUGAAAUCUGGUUUGGAGGCUAAGUCAUGGAAGAUUGUCUGCUAUGGAUCUUUGGAGGGGAUUGAAGGGAGAUUUUGUGCAGCAACAAGCGUGUACUAGUGGUCCUCUUGGUCGGGGGUGAUGUGGAGAGUGAAAGGGCUGAAGUGGUUUUGGUUAGAAGUCUUUGGUUUAGGCUUAAUAAAGGGAUGAACAUGGGUUGACAGCAUGAUUAGCAGCCGUUGACAGUGCAGUUAGUAGCUGAUUCGAUUUUUGGAGGGAGAGAAGAAAGGGUUAAAGAGUGAUCUAUGGUGUGCCACUCCUCGUAGUGUUAGAGGAAAGUUAGUAGAAGACUUUGGAUGAAACUAAACUUUUAAAAGGGGUUUUUAAAUAAAUUUUUCGAAGAGAG
rnacentral:lncRNA from 1 species